rnacentral:rRNA from 1 species
CCUACGGGGGGCAGCAGUGAGGAAUAUUGGUCAAUGGCCGGAAGGCUGAACCAGCCAUGCCGCGUGAAGGGCAGGGACCUAGGGGCGUUAAACUUCUGUUGUGCGGGAGCAAGAAUGGGCACGUGUGGCCAGACGAGAGUACCGUACGAAUAAGCAGCGGCGAACUCCGUGCCAGCAGCCGCGGUAAUACGGGGGAUGCAAGCGUUAGCCGGAUUUAUGGGGUUUAAAGGGUGCGUAGGCUGUGAGGUAAGGCAGCGGGGAAAUGCCCCCGCUCAACGGGGGGAAGGGCCAUUGAUACUGCCUUGCUGGUCUGCGGAUGCCGUGGGAGGAAUGUGUGUUGUAGCGG